rnacentral:tRNA from 1 species
GGAGGGAUGGCCGAGCGGUUUAAGGCGCACGCCUGGAAAGCGUGUUGACAGCAAUGUCUCCGGGGUUCGAAUCCCCGUCCCUCCGCCA